CAGGCAAGUUCAAGCCCAGAGCCCACCCUGAACACCUGACCUGGCCAAGUGUCAGAGGAGCGGGCCUCCCCUGAAGCGCUGCUGAGUAUGGAAGCCUGCUUGGCAAGUGGAGAUAGUGGCCAUGUUACAGCAGGGGGUUCACAGAGUCAGCAGUCUGGAGAGAACAAAGCAACAUGCCUUGGGUUCUGUGACCUGCCUGGCUACAGCAGAUGUUUGUGCAGUCCCUGCUCAACCGUAAACUAAAAGAAGUGGGAGAACCAGCACAAAGGAUAUUUCUCAUUGUUUACUAAGCUUGACAGUUGUAGCUUCAGCUGUAAUUGACCUCUUCGUUACUGUUGAUAUGUCCGACAAGCCAUCUCACACCAC